GGCGGGGCCUCUGAGUUUCCACUGAAACUUCAACUGGGGCAGAUUGGAGGACGCCUCGUCCUUGGGGGCUCGCCUGUCGUCGGAACUACGCCCCUUCACACCUGUCCCCGCCGAAAUAAACUGGCCUUUACGGCUUAUUUCUAGGGUUCUCACCAGUGCAGGAGGACAGACAAUUCCACGCAUCACGGACGUGUUAGAGUUCGCACUUCUUAAAGUUUCAUACAUAUACAUGAAGAAGUAUCUGAAGUACAACACGAGAGGCAAUACCCCGCAGAGAUGGUGCUUAAUUCUCCAGAAUGUAACAUACACACCA
rnacentral:lncRNA from 1 species